ensembl:processed_transcript
AUUUUGGCUUUACACACUCACAAAACCUGACACUGGGGCAGUGCCUUUUGAAAAGAAUGUCUUUAGUACCAUAAAGGUGCACAUAAUUAAAGAGUGGAUUAAUGAAGUAGACGAAAGUGCUAACGGUGCAGAUUGUGUCACUCCUGAUGCAGUGCUCAUCAGUGUGUGGCUGCCUGUUGUCGGUGUGCUUCUGCUGCUGUUACUGCUGUCCUCUGUCUGUGUGUGUUGGAGAGCAGCAGAAAUGCAGAAAGGUUGUGGAAUAACUUGUGGUCGCUGUCAUGAGGAAUGGACACUUGACAGUGUUCAGGGAGUAAAGAGCCUUAAUGAUUGGACACUGGCUGAAGUUCUGUAUGCACCUAUACAGAGUAAUAAGUCCUCAUAAAUCGUUUAAUGUCCUUUAUUGCACUUAACUUCCCCCUUUGUAUAGUUGAAAAGCUUUAGUGUUGCUGUAGAAACAAUAAUUAUAUAUUUUUAAACAUGUGUAUGACCCCCUCUUUUGAUGCAUUGAACUGUGUAAUGAUCACUUGACAGUUUUUUGUUUGUGUCCGCUUUAUGUAUUGCAUUUUUGACAAAUUAA